CAGCCUCCGAGCGGAUAACAUUUUCCUUUUGAAAUACCAACGGUUUUUGAAAAAUUCUUUUCGUCUAUAAUUUUUCCUUCUAAUUAAAAAAAAAAAUAAAUUUUUUUUGAUUUUUGUUUUUUUUUUCUGUUUGGUUGGUAUUAAAAAAAACCAAAAUGAAGUUAUAAUCAAAUUGAUGUAAAAAACUAAGAAAAUAUUAAUGGUGUAAAAUAAUUAAAAUAUUUUAAUUUUAAUUGAAUUAUAAAUACAAAAUGCUCAAGUUAAUGAAAAUAGUUUUAAUUAAUAAAAAAACUUUAAAUAAAAAUAAAAUAAAAACAUAAUUUUAAUUUACAAAUUAUAUAUUUAAUGGAAAAUAAUAAAAUAAAAUUAAAAAAUAGAAAUAAAUUUGAAAAAAAAAGUGAAGAACUGUUAAUUAAACAAAAAAACUAUUGUUAAAAGUUUUUGUGUUAAUGAUUUCGCGUCUGUGCCCAAAAUAAACUCUAAAUAUCGAAAAAACUUUAAUUAAAUUUGGAAUAAAGAGAAAAAUCUUAUAACACAAAUAAUUUAGAGAACCUCAAACUGGCUUUUGGAUUUCUAUCAACCUGUACUAAAUAUUACAAAAAAGGUAAACAAUAUGUGAUAAAAUUAUCCUUAAUGGCAAUUUACAUGUGAGUAUAUGUAUAUAUAUGUAUAUAGUUGAAAUAUGAAUAAUAAUUAUAAAAUAUUUACAAAAUGU